rnacentral:rRNA from 1 species
UUGGGGUUCGAUUAAGCCAUGCGAGUCGAGAGGUGCAAGACCUCGGCAUACUGCUCAGUAACACGUGGACAAUCUACCCUUAAGGUGGGGGAUAACCCCGGGAAACUGGGGAUAAUACCCCAUAGACUAUGAAUGCUGGAAUGCUUUGUGUUCGAAAGGUCAGCCACCAUAGGAUGGGUCUGCGGCCGAUUAGGUAGUUGUUGGGGUAACGGCCCAACAAGCCUGUAAUCGGUACGGGUUGUGGGAGCAAGAGCCCGGAGAUGGAUUCUGAGACACGAAUCCAGGCCCUACGGGGCGCAGCAGGCGCGAAAACUUUACAAUGCGGGAAACCGUGAUAAGGGAACUCUGAGUGCCACGUUUAACAUCGCUGCUGUCCAUCAGUUUAAAAAACUGGUGAAGAAAGGGCCGGGCAAGACCGGUGCCAGCCGCCGCGGUAAUACCGGCGGCUCGAGUGGUGGCCACUAUUACUGGGCUUAAAGCGUUCGUAGCUGGUUUGUUAAGUCUCUGGGGAAAUCUUCCGGCUUAACCGGAAGGCGUCUCAGGGAUACUGGCAGACUAGAGACCGGAAGAGGUGAGGGGUACUCCAGGGGUAGGAGUGAAAUCCUGUAAUCCUUGGGGGACCACCUGUGGCGAAGGCGCCUCACCAGGACGGCCCUGACAGUGAGGGACGAAAGCUGGGGGAGCAAACCGGAUUAGAUACCCGGGUAGUCCCAGCCGUAAACGAUGUGCGUUAGGUGUAUCGGUGCCCACGAGUCACCGAGGUGCCGAAGAGAAACUCGUGAAACGUACCGCCUGGGAAGUACGGUCGCAA